AUGCUUGGCUCAAGCCACCCGUCAUGUGGAUGUGAUGUGCCUCUGAGCAGUUCUAUAGAUGACAGGAGGAUAUGCCCUGCAAGGCUACUGCUGAAAGCAGGAGAGACGUAUGAGGCUGACCUGGAUCCCACCAGGAGUCCAGAACCAAGCCCUGCUGAGCUCAUGCUAGAUCAGCUUGCCCCCAGACCACCAACAGGUGCUGUGCAACGUCUCUCAAGAAGGUUUGCCUUGGAAGCUGUGACACAAGGCAAGGCGUGUGGUUGACUCACCUGGUACCUGAUGAAAUCCUAAUAGCUGCUUUACUGUACACAUGUCCUGAUGAUUUGUUUGUUUCCGGUUUCUUUGUUUAAUAAUUAUGGUUUGAGGCUAAAGAUGUGGGAAUGGGAAAGGAAGAUUUUGAUUUUGUGUGAGCAUGUGUGUAUGUGGUAAUACUAAACUAAGAAAUAAAUCCAGUUCAACUACAUAUCAGAUUUC
rnacentral:lncRNA from 1 species